AUGUUAGCUUCAGCAGCACAUAUACUAAAAUUAGAACAUACAGAGAAGAUUAGCAUGGCCUCAGCACAAGGAUGACACACAAAUUUGUGAAGCAUUCCAAAUUUUU